rnacentral:rRNA from 1 species
GAUGAACGCUAGCUACAGGCUUAACACAUGCAAGUCGAGGGGUAGCAGGGUAGCAAUACCGCUGAUGACCGGCGCACGGGUGAGUAACACGUAUCCAACCUUCCCAUAACUCAGGAAUAGCCUUUCGAAAGAAAGAUUAAUACCUGAUAGCACUUAAGAAAGGCAUCUUUUUUAAGUUAAAGAUUUAUCGGUUAUGGAUGGGGAUGCGUUCCAUUAGAUAGUUGGUGAGGUAACGGCUCACCAAGUCUUCGAUGGAUAGGGGUUCUGAGAGGAAGGUCCCCCACAUUGGUACUGAGACACGGACCAAACUCCUACGGGAGGCAGCAGUGAGGAAUAUUGGUCAAUGGGCGAGAGCCUGAACCAGCCAAGUAGCGUGAAGGAUGAAGGUCCUAUGGAUUGUAAACUUCUUUUAUAGUAGAAUAAAGUGAGCCACGUGUGGUUUUUUGUAUGUAUACUAUGAAUAAGGAUCGGCUAACUCCGUGCCAGCCGCCGCCGUAA